rnacentral:ncRNA from 18 species
CGGGGAGUCCCAAGGAGGGACUGAGAGGUCGCCAUCGAGAGGCGACGACCCGAUGAACCUGAUCCAGAUCAUGCUGGCGUAGGGA